UACGUAGGGGGCAAGCGUUGUCCGGAAUCAUUGGGCGUAAAGCGCGUGUAGGCGGCCCGGUAAGUCCGCUGUGAAAGUCCAGGGCUCAACCCUGGGAUGCCGGUGGAUACUGUCGGGCUCGAGUCCGGAAGAGGAGUGUGGAAUUCCUGGUGUAGCGGUGAAAUGCGCAGAUAUCAGGAGGAACACCAAUGGCGAAGGCAGCACUCUGGGACGUGACUGACGCUGAGACGCGAAAGCGUGGGGAGCAAACCGG
rnacentral:rRNA from 1 species